rnacentral:rRNA from 1 species
UGGGGAAUAUUGCACAAUGGGCGAAAGCCUGAUGCAGCAACGCCGCGUGAGUGAUGAAGGUCUUCGGAUUGUAAAGCUCUGUCUUUUGGGACGAUAAUGACGGUACCAAAGGAGGAAGCCACGGCUAACUACGUGCCAGCAGCCGCGGUAAUACGUAGGUGGCGAGCGUUGUCCGGAUUUACUGGGCGUAAAGGGUGCGUAGGCGGAUGUUUAAGUGAGAUGUGAAAUACCCGGGCUUAACUUGGGUGCUGCAUUUCAAACUGGAUAUCUAGAGUGCAGGAGAGGAGAAUGGAAUUCCUAGUGUAGCGGUGAAAUGCGUAGAGAUUAGGAAGAACACCAGUGGCGAAGGCGAUUCUCUGGACUGUAACUGACGCUGAGGCACGAAAGCGUGGGUAGCAAACAGGAUUAGAUACCCUGGUAGUCCACGCCGUAAAACGAUGAGUACUAGGUGUAGG